rnacentral:rRNA from 1 species
GAUGAACGCUGGCGGCGUGCUUAACACAUGCAAGUCGAACGAUGAAGCCCAGCUUGCUGGGUGGAUUAGUGGCGAACGGGUGAGUAACACGUGAGUAACCUGCCCUUAACUCUGGGAUAAGCCUGGGAAACUGGGUCUAAUACCGGAUAGGAGCGUCCACCGCAUGGUGUGUGUUGGAAAGAUUUAUCGUUUUUGGAUGGACUCGCGGCCUAUCAGCUUGUUGGUGAGGUAAUGGCUCACCAAGGCGACGACGGGUAGCCGGCCUGAGAGGGUGACCGGCCACACUGGGACUGAGACACGGCACAGACUCCUACGGGAGGCAGCAGUGGGGAAUAUUGCACAAUGGGCGAAAGCCUGAUGCAGCGACGCCGCGUGAGGGAUGACGGCCUUCGGGUUGUAAACCUCUUUCAGUAGGGAAGAAGCGAAAGUGACGGUACCUGCAGAAGAAGCACCGGCUAACUACGUG